CUGGACACUGGCGCCCUCCCGUUGCUGCUGCAACAACAAAGUAGUUAGACACGGUUUUCGGGGUGGUGGCGGUUUGCUCGAGUGAUCCAGGAGGCGUCGGGGAAGGUGAUCUCUCGCGCACGUGACGGUGACGUGAGUACGUCGGUACGAACCGUGAACCGAGCGUAUCGUCGCGCCAAGACAUCCCUCUAAGGGUGAAGGAUGAUGGUGAACGGACCGAUGACGAGUGAAACCCGCUAGCAAACGCGACAAACUGGCCUCGGCGCGGCACUCACGACGCGCGCGCGGGAUAAUUGGAUAUCGGAGCCGUCUUAAGAAUAACCCUGGAGCGCAAGACUGAACACGAUGGUGCACGUUGCAACCGCACGUUGACAGACUUGCAAUCGAAGUCGCAACCCUCGGGAUCGCGGGGGUGUGUGAGCCUCCUUUUCAUUCUGCGUCUUACAUGCGGUUUACCUGAUUCCGCGCGCUCGUUUUGUCUUCUAUUCAUCGUCGCGAUUAAGCGUUUAGAAGUUUCAGCCGAUUCGUGAGAGAUAAUUAUGCUUCACAAAGGAUAAUCGCCUUAUUAAAGUGGCGGUCGAUUAUCACACGGCUGCGUCGAAGGAAACAGAUAAAGUGAGAAAGUAAGAAGAGGAUAAGAUUAAAGAAAAUAUUGUUAUUGGAUAUGUGGAAAAAUUCAAUGUAAAAAGUUUGAAAAAGAAAAUUAACAUUCACGAUGGGGAAACGAGGGCAGGAAAACGCGCAGGUCACAACGGUACCCUGAAUGUAAAUAAUGCAAACAUUGAGACCACGAGAUCGGAAAUCUCUUGAUAACGAUUGUGAUUUAAGACACCAACAUCGUUAACGGAGAGAUGUCAAAUAAAUGAUUCUCUUCGACUUACCUAACGCUGGAGGCACUUCUCUGAACAUCCACAUUGUUCCUCCUGGCAGCCUCCUCGAGACAGCAAGUUGCUGUUGCUGUGGCUCCAAUGCCUUCGUUUCAACGGUCUUCUUCUGCGCUUCUGAACGCGGCACCUUCGUCCUUCCACU
rnacentral:lncRNA from 1 species